rnacentral:rRNA from 1 species
UACGUAGGGGGCAAGCGUUAUCCGGAUUUAUUGGGUUUAAAGGGUGCGCAGGCGGACUGUCAAGUCAGCGGUAAAAUGUCGGGGCUCAACCCCGGCCGGCCGUUGAAACUGGUGGUCUGGAGUUGGAGAGAAGUAUGCGGAAUUCGUGGUGUAGCGGUGAAAUGCAUAGAUAUCACGAAGAACUCCGAUUGCGAAGGCAGCAUACCGGCUCCAUACUGACGCUGAGGCACGAAAGCGUGGGGAUCGAACAGG